rnacentral:lncRNA from 1 species
UGUGAUGUUUCUUUUUUAGCCUGUUGAUGUGGUGAAUUGUACUGAUUGAUAUUUGAAUAUUAAACUGGCUUUGCAUCCCUAGAAUAUACCUCACCAGGUCACUGUGUACUAGGUUGGUGCAAAAGUGCUUGCCAUUUUGGACCAUGAAUUUUGAAUCAUUAAAACUAGGCUCAAACACAUCUGUAUUAAUCAAAGUAAGAACCAUUACAAUCAACACAAUUUUGCCAACAAGAAAUAAGUUUGUUUACUCCUGUAGCAUAAAAAUCCGUGCUUUGAGAUUCGAGGAACUUUUGGAAAGCACUUUCUGCAUCCUGCUGGUUGUGGAAGCGUUUUCCCUGCAAAAAGUUGUCAAGAUGCUUGAAGAAGUGGUAGUCGGUUGGUGAGAGGUCAGGUGAAUAUGGUGGAUAAGGCAAAACUUCAUAGCCCAAUUAGUUCAACUUUUGAAGCGUUGGUUGUGCAACAUGCAGUCAGGCAUUAUUGUGGAGAAUAACUCGGCCCUUUCUGUUGACUAAUGCCAGCUGCAGGGAUUACAGUUUUCAGUGCAUCCUAUCGAUUUGCUGAGCAAACUUCUCAGCUAUAAUGGUUUCACCAGGAAUCAGAAAGCUGUAGUGGAUCAGACCGGCAGCAGACCACCAAACAGUGACCAUGACCUAUUUUGGGUGCAAGUUUGGCUUGGGGAAUUGCUUUGGAGCUUCUUCUCAGUCCAACCCUGAGCUGGUCAUCACAGGUUGUUGUAUAAAAUCCACUUUUCGUCACACGUCACAAUCUGAUCAAGAAAUGGCUCAUUGAUGUUGUGUAAAAUAAGUGAAGAUGACACUCCAAAACGACGAUUUCUUUGAUUUUCACUCAGCUCAUGAGACACCCACUUAUCGAGAUUUUCACCUUUCCAAUUUGCUUCAAAUGCCAAAAGACCAUAGAAUGGUCGACGUCGAGUUCUUUGGCAACUUCUCAUAUAGUUGUAAGAGGAUCAGCUUCUCAAUUGGUCAUUGUUAACUCCCAAUGGCCAGCCAAUAUGCUCCUCAUCUUCAAGGCUCUUGUCUCCUGUGCAAAACUUCUUGAACAUGACUGUACUGUAGGCUUAUUAGCAGUUCCUGGGCCAAA